GGGCCGGUAGCUCAGCCAGGAAGAGCGCUGGGCUUUUAACCCAGUGGUCCCGGGUUCAAAUCCCGGCCGGCCCGCCA
rnacentral:tRNA from 1 species